rnacentral:lncRNA from 1 species
GUUAAAGCACCAAUACAUGUCAGAGAUUUAAUUAUUUAUUACAUGAAGCAUUUCUGCACGUUCGCUUGUUAUGUUCUGCCUGCCCACAUAUGCUACAUGAAUGUUGAUUUUUCGACUGCAGCUAUCACACCUUCUUUUUUACACACCUGCCCUGAAGGGUAAAAUGUAUAAGGGAGUUUUUUCAAUUAAAGUGGCAUUAUUCGAAAUGAGAUUAUUUAUUUAUUUAGAGUCGCCACUUGGGAUAGGUUUUGUUUUUGGUGUCCCAAGUCACAUGUUUAUUUAAAAUCUCAAAUCAAGAAAAUUUUUCGACUGCCCAAAUGGAGUCUGCGAACUAGAAAUUCUAAAUAAGGAAUUUUGUUGACUCGAAGGAAGUCAUUAGGCACCCUCGGAUCCCGUGAUUCUAGCAUGGUCACUUAAACUAUUAUAAUUGGCUAAAAAUUAUGAUUUUUAUACAUGUUCAUCCUAUAGUGUAAUUUUAAUAUUUUUUACCACUUUUAAUAUUUUUAAGAGAAUUGCAAUGUCGUAAAAAUAUACCGUGAAUCACGUCACAUAAAUGCACCCGUAAUUUUUGACAUAUUUUAAUUUUAUUGAGAUUUUGAUUUGGGUCAUAUAAAUGCGCACCCAAAUUUAGGAAGGUAUAUUAUUCAACUAACGCACCUAAAAAAAGCUACGAUAUUCAUGAAUUAUUUUCCGUGGAUAUCAACAUUCUGCCGAAGGGUCAGGCCCAAUGGCCAUUCCAUUUAACACCAACUAACUUAUAAAACAACUUGAAUUUAUGUACUUAAUCAGAUUAAUGUGAGUCAGAUUGAAUGCUAAAAAGACCAACAAAUUAAAAGGUGAAACUACAAUGACAUUUACUUUGCAUCAAUAAUCCUUCCAAAUUUCUACUCCUUUCUUUCCACUUAAAGUAGCUCAAUAAUGCAAAAUUUGUACCCAAACAGUAGUGUAUCAAGUAAAUAUUCAUGCUUGCUAAUUUUCUUUUAGCUCAUUUGGUCUAUUAUCCAAAAGAAAUGAAAGAGAAAAGACCAACCCAAAAGAACGCACUAAAUUUUCCCAACUAAAAUCAAUAAGGCUUGACAAAUUAACUUGUAAAACUAAAUUGCUACUACUAAAUUGCUAUUAUAAAACUAAUAACAAGAAACAUAAAACCAGUAUGGUCAUCAGAAAGAUCUCAAAUUAAGAAUGAUUUACUACAUAAAAUAAAAAAACAAAAAAAAAAAAACAAAUAAGCAAUAUCCAACAACCAUCCCAUAACAAAUACACUUUAAAAAUUCUAUAGUAGUAAAGUUUAAGUUUAAACAUUCAGAUGGAGUAAACAGGAUUUCAAAGACGAACCUCUAUUGCUUCAGUGUAAAUGGGUUACAACAACAACUAUGGGCGAAAGAUUAGAUCUCGACCGGAGCAGAAUCGAUCGACUAUUACCUCGACCAUGACCUCGAAAAGGACCUUGGUCAGAAACUCAACUGCUAGGUUGCUUAAAAGCUGCUGUGUUUGGACUGAUUUCGUGGCUCUAACUGACUGAUUUUGCAGCAGCUGUGGUGUUUUAUUUGGAUGAUUUAUGGACUGGUUGUCAGGGCUGGUCUGGAGGUAUUUUUGGUGCUUUUUGGGAUGAGAAAGGGAUGGUUUUCGAGCUAGUUUUGGCGAGCUUAGAGGAGCUGCUGUUGGUUGUAUUGAAGGAGACAGGGGCGUUGAUUUGACUAUGAAUCAGCCAUGGAAAUGGCUACUUGAAGAAGAUGAUCCUAGGGGUCGUUUCUUGAUUCAGCGGCUAUAGGAACCUUUUUAAUCCUAAGUCUAAUGGCUGCUUCAAUCAAGGUCUCUUUGGAGAAGAAGAUACAUGGGGGAAGGGGGUUCUUUUUUCCUCAAUUGCAGCUUUUUUUUAGAGGGUGUAUGUUGUAGAUUUUAGGUGUAGAUAGUAUUAUAUAGGGUAGAGAUAUGGAGUUAUGGAUUAUUGGCUAGGGAAUAAGCUUGAGUUAUGUGAGUUUAGGUAGAAAAAUUAUGAUUUGGG